CACACAUAGGAACCUCCUCUAAGGAUUCUAUGGACAGUCGAUGCAGGGAGUGGCUGCUCCCUGCAUCGGCGAUUUU
rnacentral:antisense_RNA from 2 species